CUUGUUUUCUUCGGUAGAUUUUAAACAACAACAAAGAAAAAAAAUGAGUUUCACAAAAGUCUUAGCGACGUUUUUCCUUGUAGCUAUAUUGGUUGUUUCGAUGUCUAGCAAAAACGCUUUGGGCUCACGCUUUGGUGAUAUAAAAAGGCAACAAUGUUUCAACAAAUGUACGAGCAAAUAUGGACCGUAUGAAUGCAGUACAGACUGUAGGUUAUCCUUUUACGGAGACGGACACUGUGUUUUGGGAUAUUGUUGUUGCGAUAAUGUGCCACCUGCUCAGUUUAUUAAAUCUCAUGAAUGAUCCUUAACCUUAUUAAUGUUUUGCUUUUGAUUAUGAGAAACAUGUACCGUAUAAAACAUAUUAUAUCCUGAAAUAAAAGCUAUAUUAUUAUCUUC